GACGAACGCUGGCGGCGUGCUUAACACAUGCAAGUCGAACGGAAAGGCCCCUUUUGGGGUACUCGAGUGGCGAACGGGUGAGUAACACGUGCGUAACCUGCCCUUGACUUCGGGAUAACUUCAGUAAACUGGGGCUAAUACCGGAUAGGAAUCCUUGCUGCAUGGUGGGGGUUGGAAAGCUUCGGCGGUUUUGGAUGGACUCGCGGCUUAUCAGCUUGUUGGUGGGGUAGUGGCUUACCAAGGCUUUGACGGGUAGCCGGCCUGGGAGGGCGACCGGCCACAUUGGGACUGAGAUACGGCCCAGACUCCUACGGGAGGCAGCAGUGGGGAAUAUUGCACAAUGGGCGGAAGCCUGAUGCAGCAACGCCGCGUGCGGGAUGACGGCCUUCGGGUUGUAAACCGAUUUCAGCAGGGGCGAAGCUUGUGGUGACGGUACCUGCAGAAGAAGCACCGGCUAACUACGUG
rnacentral:rRNA from 1 species